rnacentral:rRNA from 1 species
AACGAACGCUGGCGGCAUGCCUAACACAUGCAAGUCGAACGAGACCUUCGGGUCUAGUGGCGCACGGGUGCGUAACGCGUGGGAAUCUGCCCUUAGGUUCGGAAUAACUCAGGGAAACUUGAGCUAAUACCGGAUAAUGACGUAAGUCCAAAGAUUUAUCGCCUAGGGAUGAGCCCGCGUAGGAUUAGCUAGUUGGUGGGUAAAGGACGUACCAACGGACGACGAUCCUUACGUCUGGUCUGAGAGGAGUGAUCAGCCAC